rnacentral:rRNA from 1 species
UCUUGACAUUAAUUUUUUUUAUAUUUAUUUGGGUGUGGGAUUUUAUAAAUUUAAUUUAGUGUUUUAUUGGGGUGAUAGGAAGAUAAAAUAAACUCUUUUUAGUUUUUUGCAUAUGACAUUGAUUUUUGAAUUUUUGAUCCGUUAUUAACGAUUAUAAGACUAAGU